ACACAGGGCAGGGAGGGGGGAAGGAGGGGGGGGAGGCUCGUGGCUCUCUCCGAGGGAGAGGAGAGGAGACGAGAGCUGGCUGUCUUGCGUGUCAAUCGUGAGGACUAAGAGAAGGAGAUUAGUCCGGGUGGGUGGGAUUGAAGAUGAUGGGGAGGAAGAGGAGAUAGAUAGAGGGAUCGACUGAUAGAGAGGGAGAGGGGGUUUGUUUGUUGUUUUGUAUUUGGCUCAUCAUCACUUUACUACUUACUACCGUACUUCUACAUCUACUAGUAUUUCUCUCUCUCUUCAUGCUUUCUCUCUCUUUUGUUGAGUAAACCUGGAUCCAGAGAGUGGCAUGUUGCUCUGGAUGGGAAGUGAGACAGUGGGGCGAGAGUAAGAGGAGGAUGGCGUACACACAGCUGGAACCCGUCAAUGAGCAUCCUGUCUCAAGUCAUUCAUUAUUCAGCCAACUAUGUGUUCUUCUGUCUCUUUGGAGUCAGCCAGUCUAAAUCAGAGAGAAGCAAGUUGUGUUGUAAAAAGACUAAUAUGUCUUUCAUGAAGGACCUCUAUCCAAACAUCUGGCCUCAGUUCUGGUCUAGCUAAUAACGG
rnacentral:lncRNA from 1 species